CCACAGCCUUUACCAUUUAACAUAACUUUGUCAAGUAAACUGGAGCAUCGGUCCGGGGGUGUCUGUCAUCCGGUCUGAUUUUCUGAUUUUUGUUUUAUUUUCAAUAUAUUCAUUGUGAGUAUUGUGAACCAACAUUAAUUUCUCUGUUCUAUUAGCUCUUUUCCAUUCAAAGAAAAUACCCUGGACUUUAUUGCGUGAAAAUUUCGCAGAGUAAUGGGUCUGCUUUCCUUAUAUUUUAUUGGGAUCUGAUUGGAACUGUCCUUUUCAUUUUUUUUAUUUGCCUUUACCAUUUAACAUAACUUUGUCAAGUAAACUGGAGCAUCGGUCCGGGGGUGUCUGUCAUCCGGUCUGAUUUUCUGAUUUUUGUUUUAUUUUCAAUAUAUUCAUAAAAAUACCCUGGACUUUAUUGCGUGAAAAUUUCGCAGAGUAAUGGGUCUGCUUUCCUUAUAUUUUAUUGGGAUCUGAUUGGAACUGUCCUUUUCAUUUUUUUUAUUUGCCUUUACCAUUUAACAUAACUUUGUCAAGUAAACUGGAGCAUCGGUCCGGGGGUGUCUGUCAUCCGGUCUGAUUUUCUGAUUUUUGUUUUAUUUUCAAUAUAUUCAUAAAAAUACCCUGGACUUUGUGUAAAUAUUUCGCAUAGUAAUGGGUCUGAUUUCCUUAUAUUUUAUUCGAGUAUCGCCAAUAUUCAUCUUUCUUUACCGCAUCACU